GGGAAGCGAGACUGUGAAGAGGAGCAACCCCAAAAAGGACGUCUCAGUUCGGAUUGUAGUCUGCAACUCGACUACAUGAAGCUGGAAUCGCUAGUAAUCACGAAUCAGAAUGUCGCGGUGAAUACGUUCCCGGGUCUUGUACACACCGCCCGUCACACCAUGGGAGUUGGGAAUGCCCGAAGCCGGUGACCUAACCGAAAGGGAGGAGCCGUCGAAGGCAGGCUUGAUAACUGGGGUGAAGUCGUAACAAGGUAUC
rnacentral:rRNA from 1 species